rnacentral:rRNA from 1 species
GAUGAACGCUGGCGGCGUGCCUAAUACAUGCAAGUCGAGCGAACGGACGAGAAGCUUGCUUCUCUGAUGUUAGCGGCGGACGGGUGAGUAACACGUGGAUAACCUACCUAUAAGACUGGGAUAACUUCGGGAAACCGUAGCUAAUACCGGAUAAUAUUUUGAACCGCAUGGUUCAAAAGUGAAAGACGGUUUUGCUGUCACUUAUAGAUGGAUCCGCGCUGCAUUAGCUAGUUGGUAAGGUAACGGCUUACCAAGGCAAUGAUGCGUAGCCGACCUGAGAGGGUGAUCGGCCACACUGGAACUGAGACACGGUCCAGACUCCUACGGGAGGCAGCAGUAGGGAAUCUUCCGCAAUGGGCGAAAGCCUGACGGAGCAACGCCGCGUGAGUGAUGAAGGUCUUCGGAUCGUAAAACUCUGUUAUUAGGGAAGAACAUAUGUGUAAGUAACUGUGCACGUCUUGACGGUACCUAAUCAGAAAGCCACGGCUAACUACGUG